CAAGUACUCACUCCGUCCGGAAUUACUUGUCAUCAAAAUGGAUGUGUCUAGAACUAAAAUACAUCUAGAUACAUCCAUUUCAAUGACAAGUAUUUUCAGACGGAGGGAGUACAAG
rnacentral:pre_miRNA from 1 species